GAAUUCGCCCUUAGAGUUUGAUCCUGGCUCAGGACGAACGCUGGCGGCGUGCCUAACACAUGCAAGUCGAACGAGAAUUCGUGGAAAGAGACUUCGGUCAAUGGAAGCGAAGGACAGUGGCGGACGGGUGAGUAACGCGUGAGCAACCUGCCUUUCAGAGGGGGACAACAGUUGGAAACGACUGCUAAUACCGCAUAACACAUAUUGGGGGCAUCCCCGAUAUGUCAAAGAUUUAUCGCUGAAAGAUGGGCUCGCGUCUGAUUAGAUAGUUGGUGAGGUAACGGCCCACCAAGUCUGCGAUCAGUAGCCGGACUGAGAGGUUGAACGGCCACAUUGGGACUGAGAUACGGCCCAGACUCCUACGGGAGGCAGCAGUGGGGAAUAUUGGGCAAUGGGGGCAACCCUGACCCAGCAACGCCGCGUGAAGGAAGAAGGCUUUCGGGUUGUAAACUUCUUUUACCAGGGACGAAGACGUGACGGUACCUGGAGAAAAAGCCACGGCUAACUACGUGCCAGCAGCCGCGGUAAUACGUAGGUGGGCAGCGUUGUCCCGAUUUACUGGGUGUAAAGGGCGUGUAGGCGGAGCAGCAAGUCAGAUGUGAAAUGCCGGGGCUUAACCCCGGAGCUGCAUUUGAAACUGCUGCCCUUGAGUAUCGGAGAGGCAGGCGGAAUUCCUAGUGUAGCGGUGAAAUGCGUAGAUAUUAGGAGGAACACCAGUGGCGAAGGCGGCCUGCUGGACGACAACUGACGCUGAGGCGCGAAAGCGUGGGGAGCAAACAGGAUUAGAUACCCUGGUAGUCCACGCUGUAAACGAUGAAUACUAGGUGUG
rnacentral:rRNA from 1 species